rnacentral:rRNA from 1 species
GAUGAACGCUGGCGGCGUGCCUAAUACAUGCAAGUCGAGCGAACGGACGAGAAGCUUGCUUCUCUGAUGUUAGCGGCGGACGGGUGAGUAACACGUGGAUAACCUACCUAUAAGACUGGGAUAACUUCGGGAAACCGGAGCUAAUACCGGAUGAUAUUUUGAACCGCAUGGUUCAAAAGUGAAAGACGGUCUUGCUGUCACUUAUAGAUGGAUCCGCGCUGCAUUAGCUAGUUGGUAAGGUAACGGCUUACCAAGGCAACGAUGCAUAGCCGACCUGAGAGGGUGAUCGGCCACACUGGAACUGGGACACGGUCCAGACUCCUACGGGAGGCAGCAGUAGGGAAUCUUCCGCAAUGGGCGAAAGCCUGACGGAGCAACGCCGCGUGAGUGAUGAAGGUCUUCGGAUCGUAAAACUCUGUUAUUAGGGAAGAACAUAUGUGUAAGUAACUGUGCACAUCUUGACGGUACCUAAUCAGAAAGCCACGGCUAACUACGU